rnacentral:rRNA from 1 species
UACGUAGGCAGCAAGCGUUGUUCGGAAUUACUGGGCGUAAAGAGUGUGUAGGUGGUGUCGUAAGUUUGGUGUGAAAUCUCCCGGCUUAACUGGGAGGGUGCGCCGAAGACUGCGAUGCUGGAGUAUGGGAGAGGAAAGCGGAAUUCCUGGUGUAGCGGUGAAAUGCGUAGAUAUCAGGAGGAACACCGGUGGCGAAGGCGGGUCUCUGGGCCGUAACUGACGCUGAGGAGCGAAAGCAUGGGGAGCGAACAGG